rnacentral:tRNA from 1 species
GGCUUUAUAUUCAAUUAUGAUUCUAGACUGCAAUUCUAGGGGUGUAAAUCUUUACUAAGGCCU